UCCGGUUUGGCACCGGCAGUCCUCCCAGAGUCCCCGACUUGACUCGCUGGCAACUGGGAGCGGGGGUUGCGCUCGUUGCGCCACUUAAGGCAACACCUCACGGCACGAGCUGACGACGGCCAUGCAGCACCUCGGCUGGCUCCCUUGCGGGUCGCCCAGUAUUUCUACCGGACUACCACCAGUCGUUCGAGCCCAGGUAAGGUUCUUCGCGUAGCGUCGAAUUAAACCACAUGCUCCACCGCUUGUGCGGGCCCCCGUCAAUUCCUUUGAGUUUUAACCUUGCGGCCGUACUCCCCAGGCGGGCAACUUAAAGCGUUAGCGACGACACGGAAGGGGUCGAUACCUCCCACAUCUAGUUGCCAUCGUUUACAGCCGGGACUAC
rnacentral:misc_RNA from 1 species